AUGAGGGAAAGAGAAUGGAAAUACAAGGAGAAAAAGGAACAAUGCUAUGGAAGAAGAGUGCCUGUAUUUUUUACACUGGCACUGAAUAGGCAAAUCCAUGCGGAGACAAAGGCUGGAGAGAGGAGAAAAAUGGUGAGUGACUGCUUGAUACGUGUGGGGUUUCCCUUGGGGGUGAUGAGAGUGAGACUCUGUCUCAAAAAAGAAAAAAGAAAAAAUAUUGUUUUAAUUUUAUUUAUUUUUAUUUUAUUUUGUCUCACUCUGUUGCCCAGGCUGGAGUGCAGUGGCAUGAUCUCGGCUCACUGCAACCUCUGCCUCCCAGGUUCAAGCGAUUCUCCUAUCUCAGCUUCCUGAGUAGCUGGGACUACAGGCACCUGCCACCACUCCCACCUAACUUUUUUGUAUUUUUAGUAGAGAUGUAGUUUCACCAUGUUGGUCCAGCUGGCCUCAAACUCCUGACCUCAGGUGAUCCACCCACCUCAGCCUCCCAAAGUGUUGGGAUUACAAGAGUGAGCCACUGCUCCCGGUCUGCCUCUGGUUUUAAAUGCAAGCUUAUAAAGAAGUACAAGCCCAAAAUGCUUCAGGUAAAAUUGUUUGACAGCCUCAGCUUAUUACUUUAAACCUGCUGGAGUGACCAGUUCUCAGGACUGGAAGUUGUAGAAAUGGUCAAGGAAGAAGGAUGGCUUUUUGUAUGUGUAGCUCAUCACUGAAAUCAACAGAGUGUCCCUAGGUUUAAUGUCAGGUCACCCGCACAUAUGUUUGUGGUACAUAAGGACAUCAUUACAUUGUGCACUACCAGGAAUAGAAACAUCUGAUUUCUUGUCAGUAGAAAAUACAGAAAAUUCUUUCACAAAAACAGAAAAGAAAAAGAAAAAACAUACAGUUUUGGGUUCCUAUGAAUUUCUGAGUCGAAAAACAACAUCUAAGGUUGCUAUUUUAAAAUCAAAUUAGAUAAUGUUUUAUGACCGGAAACUAUCUGAACAAUGACACCUUACUUCCUGUAAACUAUGAGUAAAUUCCACACAUUCCCAUGUUUACAUAACCAGAGCCCAGGGUUACAAUUCCCACUCUUAGUCACAUAAAUGUGUGUUUUGUUUAUCAUUAGAAAAUAAACACGCUUUGACUUGCUAUGUGAAGAUAAAAAAAAGAAAAGAAAAACACAUGCUUUGUAGUCUGAGGUCUAACUUAAUAAAUUGAACGAUAUGAAAAAGAUUAAACUAAAAUAUGUGAAACUUUAACACUUGAGAAAGGUCUACAUGAUCCCAAGUUACUCCCACUUUCACUGAGACAUCACUGCUGAAUAACUGAAAGGCUCUCAACAAAACUCCAAUCUAGCUGGGCGCGGUGACUCACACCUGUAAUCCCAGCACUUUGGGAGGCUGAGGCAAGCGGAUCAUCUGAGGUUGGGAGUUCGAGACCAGCCUGAUUAACAUGGUGAAACCCCAUCUCUACUAAAAAUACAAAAUAAGCUGGGCAUGGUGGCGCAUGCCUGCAAUUCCAGCUACUCGGGAGGCUGAGGCAGGAGAAUCACUUGAAUCCGAAAGGCGGAAGUUGCAGUGAGCCAAAAUCACGCCAUUGCACUCCAGCCUGGGUGACAAGAGCGAAACUCCGUCUCAAAAAUAAAAAAUCCAAUCUAAUUUUGUUUUAUUAAUCUCAACGUCCUUCCUAACAAAGUUUUUUCAUCACUGGAAACACGGCAAUCCUUUUCCCUUCUUAGCCUAGAAGUAGCAGUGAAUUGACAUAAGACCCAGACUGCUCUGAAGUCACUUAGGUGUUUGGGAUUUCUUUUCUUUUUUUUCUUUUGAGACCUGAGUCUUGCUCUGCUGCCCAGGCUGGAGUGCAGUGGCAUGAUCUCGACUUGCCACGACUUCCCUCUCCCAGGUUCAAACAAUCCUCCUGCCUCAGCCUCCCAAGUAGCUGGGACUACACCCGGGUAAUUUCUGUAUUUUUAGUAUAUUCGGGGGGUUCAUUGUGUUUGCCAGGAUGGUCUCAAACUCCUGACCUUGUGCUCUGCCCACCUUGGCCUCCCAAAGUGUUAGGGAUUUCUUAUCUAAAAGGAAAAGGGAAAGGGCAAGGCUUAAAUCAACACUGUCCGAAGUAAGUUCCCUGGUUCCCUGGAACACCAAGAACACCAGUCCCCUGAGGUAGCCAUUGACGCACGGCCAAGGUCUGGUCAUUGCCUUCCAUGUGUCUCCCUCUGGGAGGGUCACACAAGUACUCGCCAUCAGGAUCCUGACUACCUUGUUUAACUCUACAUCCCCAUACCUAUUUGGCCACUCCUUUUUUCUAGUAACAUGAUUAACAUUCCACAGGCUCCUCGGGCAUGGCUGGUUGGGUCAGUUCUGUGAAAUUUAUGGCCUGGUAUUCUGGAUAAUCAUUGUGUGAGUCAGUCCUGAGAAACAUCCUGGUUUGUCAGAUGUCACGAUGUUUGGAUGUUUUGUCAAGAUGUUUGAUUUUGCAAAGUCAUCAUAACCCCACACCGACAGAAAGCACACGUGUCAGUCUUUUUUGUCCCUCAUCCAGUUUUUUUCUGACCUGUUAGCACUUCCAAGUCCCUUUGGUAGGAAAUGUUCUUUCUGACUACCAGCUUUUCCUUUGGGAGUUACCGAAAAUGCCAUUACAAGAAAAGGAAGACACCCCUAUUUCCCACCCACAUUGCUUUCCUGUCAUAGAAUACGCAGAUAUGCCAGAUCGUCACUCUCACAGUACUCAAGAGCUUCAGCUCUGGAGUCACACCGCCUGCAUUCAAAUUCCAGGCUUCACUGCUUCAGAGAUAUGUUACGCCGGGCAAAUUGCUUUGCCCCUCUGAGCCACAGUUUUUUCAUCCGUAACAUAGGAGAACAAUAAAAGCACCCACCUUUUAAAGAAAAGAUUAAAAAUGGCAAUGCAUGUAAAGCCCUUAGAAUGCUUGUGCUAGGCACUUAGCAAAUAUUGACAUUUCUCAUUCCUACUCUUUCUCAUUCCUCUGACCCCCUUCGUAGCUAAUGUGGUUUUAACAGCUGAGACAGAGGACAGAGGAAAUGGAAACCAUGGGGGAAGAGGAGGAAGGGCGCCUGCGGAUGUUUUAGUUAUAUUUACAUUGUGAGAUGCAGAAGACAGAGAGACAAAAGCAGACAUCAGAGCUUCUGAGCCUAGAAAAGUAACAGGUGAGUCCCAGACUGAAAAAGAUUAGAAAAUCCUCAUCUAAAAGAACAGGCCUCCAUUUAUGAGACCCUGCCUAGUGCUUCAAUACCGAUCAUGCCUAAAGCUUGAGUGCAAGCCCCGUGGGAUGUAUGCGGCUUCUUCCUAUUCAACAGCCAGCCAGGCCACCUUAACAAAGGGGCACGGAGCUGAUGGAUUAACACAAAUUCA
rnacentral:lncRNA from 1 species